rnacentral:rRNA from 1 species
UACAGAGGGUGCGAGCGUUAAUCGGAAUUACUGGGCGUAAAGCGCGCGUAGGCGGCUUUGCAAGUCGGGUGUGAAAUCCCCCGGCUUACCUGGGAACUGCGUCUGAUACUGGGAGGCUAGAGUAUGGGAGAGGGAUGUAGAAUUCCAGGUGUAGCGGUGAAAUGCGUAGAUAUCUGGAGGAAUACCGGUGGCGAAGGCGGCAUCCUGGACCAUUACUGACGCUGAGGCGCGAAAGCUAGGGGAGCAAACGGG